AGUGAACGCUGGCGGUAGGCCUAACACAUGCAAGUCGAACGGCAGCACAGUAAGAGCUUGCGCUUACGGGUGGCGAAUGGCGGAAGGGAGAGGAAUACAUCGGAAUCUACUUUUUCGUGGGGGAUAACGUAGGUAAACUUACGCUAAUACCGCAUACGACCUAGCGGGGAAAGCAGUGGAUCUUUGGACCUUGUGCGAUUGGAUGAGCGGAUGGCGGAUUAGCUAGUUGGCGGGGUAAAGGCCCACCAAGGCGACGAUCCGUAGCUGGUCUGAGAGGAUGAUUAGCCACACUGGAAGUGAGACAGGGUCCAGAGUCAUACGGGAGGGAGCAGUGGGGAAUAUUGGACAAUGGGUGGAAGCCUGAUCCAGCCAUACCGCGUGGGUGAAGAAGGCCUUCGGGUUGUAAAGCCCGUUUGUUGGGAAAGAAAAGCAGCAGGUUAAUACCCCGCUGUUCUGACGGUACCCAAAGAAUAAGCACCGGCUAACUUCGUG
rnacentral:rRNA from 1 species